UUCCCCAGUCCCGAGCCCAAUGAUCCCACUAACCAACAACCGCUCAAUCGGUGAAGGACCAACUGUUAAAGCCUGGGGCAUACUUGGCAACCUCAGCAAGGUGAUCUCAAACCUCGACCAAUACACCCUUGUAGGGGACCGCUCAGAAAUAUUCACAUUCAAAAGGCAGUGGGAACUCAUCAGGGGAAAUACAUUUAACCCAAAC